GUCAACUUCAACGCCAAAACACAGGAGUGCUCAGAUUUCACUGGAAAUUUUACAAAAUUUCUUGUCUUUUGAACGAGUGUUCAUCAUUUAGAAGUCCUGAAAGCCAGCCAAAAACUCAUUUGUGCCAAGACUUGAGAGCAUGUCUGUGGUUGGACAAGCAGUUCUAUCUGCUUUCUUUCGAGUUUUGUUUAACAGAUUGGCUUCUCCUGAAUUGCUCAAG
rnacentral:misc_RNA from 1 species